rnacentral:rRNA from 1 species
UGGGGAAUUUUGGACAAUGGGCGAAAGCCUGAUCCAGCAAUGCCGCGUGUGUGAAGAAGGCCUUCGGGUUGUAAAGCACUUUUGUCCGGAAAGAAAUCCUUGGCUCUAAUACAGUCGGGGGAUGACGGUACCGGAAGAAUAAGCACCGGCUAACUACGUGCCAGCAGCCGCGGUAAUACGUAGGGUGCAAGCGUUAAUCGGAAUUACUGGGCGUAAAGCGUGCGCAGGCGGUUUGCUAAGACCGAUGUGAAAUCCCCGGGCUCAACCUGGGAACUGCAUUGGUGACUGGCAGGCUAGAGUAUGGCAGAGGGGGGUAGAAUUCCACAUGUAGCAGUGAAAUGCGUAGAGAUGUGGAGGAAUACCGAUGGCGAAGGCAGCCCCCUGGGCCAAUACUGACGCUCAUGCACGAAAGCGUGGGGAGCAAACAGGAUUAGAUACCCUGGUAGUCCGCGCCCUAAAACGAUGUCAACUAGUUGUUGGGGAUUCAUUUCCUUAGUAACGUAGCUAACGCGUGAAGUUGACCGCCUGGGGAGUACGGUCGCAAGAUUAAAACUCAAAUGAAUUGACGGGGUCAUAGCUGUUUCCU